UAAGGCAGGAAAUUUUGGACCAGAGAUUCAAGACCUGGUUGAGAAGGGUUGAGAGGAAAAGAAGUGGUGGAGAAGAAGAAUCUUCCAGGAAAACUGACUUUAAGUAGACUGCACAUCUGAAAUUCAGCUUAUGAAUAAGAAGUUGCAAGACACUUAGAAAAGUCAGAUGGCCCAGGGAAGGUGGGCAGUUCUAGCCCAACCAGGACUAUGCCUUGUCAUGUGUUACCUGUGUUUGUUUAUUAAGGUGUCCACUCAUUCGUCCAUUUACCAUUCAUUUAACAGUUAUUUAUUGAAGCACCUGUGGGAGAGUUCUUGCAGAAAAGAAUAGCUGGCUCUUAGUCUCUGACUCACCUUUUUCCUACUUUGCAAAAUACCAAUAGCAGCUACUAUUCAUUGAAUGCUUACAAGUGCCAGAGAGCAUGCUAGUAACCACAGGAUGUGGAUAUUACUACUUCUUAUUCACAUACAUAGAAACAAGGCUGGGAAAGGAACGUGCCCAAAGGCACAGAGCUAUCGGAGAAUGUAGCCAGGCUUGGAAAUGUGACUCCUGUGAUUUCUUCCCACUGAAAUACCUUUGAGAAAAAGAAAGACAAAAUCUCUCUAACUACCACUGAAAGCCAUCUGACCACCCCUGUUCUCAGGACAGGCGAGAACCUCUACUCGCAAUAAAGAUGAUGGAGCUGAGUAAGAAAAAACAGUAAGGAGUUACCCAAAGCCAAAUCGAGAAAGAAAUGAGAGCCCCUUCAAAUGGAAGCUGGUACUACCUCUGCUGAGUUGCAUAAGAAAGAACAGAAGGAAUGACUUCUCUCUACUCAUGGUCACAGCCACUUUUGAUUGGCCCCUUCUGGCAGGGCACAUGACUUGGGAUCACCUCUUCUUUCACAAGCAGCUCCCCUUGUAUGCAGCCAUGCAUCUGAGGUGGCCAAAGAGAAAAGGGUUGAGGAAAUGGUCAUAGGAGGGAAGUUUCUAGAAGUGGAAGUGUUAUUUGUUGGCUUUCUGAAUAAAGCUAAUAAAAUCUACAGGUAUUGGACUCCCAACUUGGAUAUAAGAGGGGAUUCUUUGUCACACUCUAAGAACUGACGCUGAGAUACUGUGGGUAGGAGACGAUCUGGCAAUUUUUCUGAAGCAAUUGCCUUAGAAAUGUAAAUUACUAAUAAAGCUAUUUUUAUUUGUC